rnacentral:rRNA from 1 species
AUUGGCAAAGGAGCAAUCCGCUACAAGAUGAGCCCGCGUCUGAUUAGCUAGUUGGUGGGGUAAUGGCCUACCAAGGCUACGAUCAGUAGCCGAACUGAGAGGUUGAACGGCCACAAUGGAACUGAGAAACGGUCCAUACUCCUACGGGAGGCAGCAGUGGGGAAUAUUGCGCAAUGGGGGAAACCCUGACGCAGCGACGCCGCGUAGAGGAUGAAGGUUUUCGGAUUGUAAACUCUUGUCAACAGGGACGAAACAAGACGGUACCUGUGGAGGAAGCCCCGGCUAACUACGUGCCAGCAGCCGCGGUAAUACGUAGGGGGCAAGCAUUGUCCGGAAUUACUGGGUGUAAAGGGCGUGUAGGCGGGUAAUUAAGUCAGGUGUGAAAUUCUGGAGCUCAACUCCAGACCUGCAUCUGAAACUAAUUAUCUUGAGUGCAGUAGAGGUAAGUGGAAUUCCUAGUGUGGCAGUGAAAUGCGUAGAUAUUAGGAGGAACACCAGUGGCGAAGGCGGCUUACUGGGCUGUAACUGACGCUGAGGCGCGAAAGCGUGGGGAGCAAACAGGAUUAGAUACCCUGGUAGUCCACGCCGUAAACGAUGGAUACUAGGUGUAGGAGGUAUCGACCCCUUCUGUGCCGCAGUUAACACAAUAAGUAUCCCACCUGGGGAGUACGGCCGCAAGGUUGAAACUCAAAUGAAUUGACGG